rnacentral:rRNA from 1 species
UGCGUAGGCGGUGCGGUAAGUCUGUUGUGAAAUCUCCGGGCUCAACUCGGAGCCUGCAACGGAAACUGCCGUGCUGGAGUAUGGGAGAGGUGAGUGGAAUUCCCGGUGUAGCGGUGAAAUGCGUAGGUAUCGGGAGGAAGACCUGUGGCGAAAGCGGCUCACUGGACCAUUACUGACGCUGAUGCACGAAAGCUAGGGGAGCAAACAGGAUUAGAUACCCUGGUAGUCCUAGCCCUAAACGAUGAUCGCUUGGUGUGACAGGUACCCAAUCCUGUUGUGCCGGAGCUAACGCGUUAAGCGAUCCGCCUGGGGAGUACGGUCGCAAGGCUGAA